CUAGGCCCUUCCUUAGCCAGCCCAUGUCAAGCCUAGGGGCCCCUGGGUUGAUAGGCUGCUCCUUGGGGUCUGGUGUUCCCCCUCUAUUUCUCAUGGCCUUGUCGUACGGCUUUGGCCCUAAGCCAUCAUCUCUCUGGAGUGAGCUCCUUUCCUUUUUUUUCUUUUUUCUUUUCUUUCUUUUUCUUUUCUUUUUUUCUUUUCUUUUCUUCUUUUUUUUUCUCUUUUGACAGCAUUUUGUGUGACUUAAGCUGGCCUCAAACCUGUUCUGUAACUGAGGACAACCUUGAUCCUCCUGCCUCCACUUGUCUUCCUAUGUGCUGAGAUUACAGGUGUGUGUACCUCCACCACUCCUGGUUUAUGGGGUGCUGGGGAUCAAGCCCAUGGCCCUGUGUACAUUAAGCCAGCACCCUACAAAUUGAGCUACAUCCCCAGGCUGAACAGGUUUUCUAUGCCUGACUGGGGCCUGGGCUGCAAUGGGCAAAGGGUCAUGGGCUCACCAGCUGGGGCCACAUGGCCAAUGGGUGGCAAGGAGCUGUGCUAUGGGCAUGCCACUGGGUGGGCAGCUUCGGUCAGGGAUGGUCUUCCUGAGGAAGGACUCGAAGGUUCCCCUGGCAUGGCCCUUGCCAGGCCUUGCCACCCUUUGGCUGGUUCUAAGACUUGUUCUUUCAUGCUGUGUCCCAACCCUCACCCAAGGCAUUAGGACAAGAACAUACAGAUUAAGGAGUGCGAGUUGCCAUGGACGUGGAUGUGGGAUCAAGGACGAUUCUGGGACCCAGAGGAUUCCCAGAAGAGCUGGCAGCUCUCUCCAGUUCUUUACUCUUUGAUCUCAUUACACAGGAAGGCUCUGUUGAUACUCACCUGUCCUUGGACCCUGUCCCCAUCCCUAGUGACUUCCCCUGUGAGCCCAGAGAGCCUGUAAGCCAGCAGCCAUGGCUGUCCGGGGGACACCUGCCCCUGGGGGUGAUGGUGCUCACUCCUUUCUGUUUACUGCCACUGGGGCCACCUUUCCUUCUGCAUUGCCUAUUUAAGCUGUCCUUUAAAAUAAACAAAUGUAUUUCAGUUAAAAAAAAUAUAAUUAUAUUUUUACAAGGAACAAAGAAGUAGGAAAACAGAUUUUUAAGAA
rnacentral:lncRNA from 1 species